CUGGAUACUGUAUAACUUGGUUAGCUGAGAGGAAGUCGGAAUUCCUGGUGUAGGGGUGAAAUCUUAUAGAUAUCAGGAAGAGCACCAGUAGCGUAGGCGGACUUCUGGCAGCUUACCGACGCUGAGGUACGAAAGGUAGGGUAGCAAACAGGAUUAGAGACCCUGGUAGUCCUACCUGUAAACGUUGUAUACUAGGUGGUGGAAGUUUAAUAUCUUUCUCGGCCGGAGUUAACGCAUUAAGUAUACCGCCUGGGGAGUAUGCCGGCAACGGUGAAACUCAAAGGAAUUGACGGGGCCCCGCACAAGCAGUGGAGCAUGUUGAUUAAUUCGAUGAUACGCGAGGAACCUUACCAGGUCUUGACAUAUAUCUGACGCACAUAGAGAUAUGUGUUCUCUUUUGAGCAGAUAUACAGGUGCUGCAUGGUUGUCGUCAGCUCGUGCCGUGAGGUGUUGGGUUAAGUCCCGCAACGAGCGCAACCCCUAUUCUUUGUUGCUAACGGGUAAUGCUGAGCACUCGAAGGAAACUGCCGGUGACAAACCGGAGGAAGGUGGGGAUGAGGUCAAAUCAUCACGGCCAUUAUGACCUGGGCUUCAAACGUGCUACAAUGGGUGGUACAAAGAGUAGCCAACCUGUGAAGGGGAGCCAAUCUCAAAAAGCCACCCCAAGUUCGGAUUGGAGUCUGCAACUCGACUCCAUGAAGUUGGAAUUGCUAGUAAUCGCACAUCACCAUGGUGCGGUGAAUAUGUUCCCGGGGCUGUACACACCGCCCGUCACAUCACCCGAGUUGAUAUACCCGAAGUAUCCGGCAUACCCAUUUAGGGGGGCAGGU
rnacentral:rRNA from 1 species